UACGAAGGGUGCAAGCGUUAAUCGGAAUUACUGGGCGUAAAGCGUGCGUAGGCGGUGAGUUAAGUCUGUCGUGAAAUCCCCGGGCUCAACCUGGGAAUGGCAGUGGAUACUGGCAAGCUAGAGUGUGUCAGAGGAUGGUGGAAUUCCCGGUGUAGCGGUGAAAUGCGUAGAGAUCGGGAGGAACAUCAGUGGCGAAGGCGGCCAUCUGGGACAACACUGACGCUG
rnacentral:rRNA from 1 species